ensembl:lncRNA
UAGCAGAUGAACGAAAUCCACAGGGGUUAGGUGGGCCUUCCAAAGCCACAGCCAAGAAAGGACACGCUUGAAGGCCUCCUGGCUCCUAGCUGAAUGUUUGUUCCUGCCACCUUCAGUCCUGGUUCUUGAUAAGGGGGAACCAGGGAAGAAUUUAUGGGAUGUCCACUGUUCUCUUACCUUCUGUUAUCUACAUGUGCAAAUCUUAUUCUCUCAACCUUGUUGCCAUCAUCAUCUUCAUCACCUCAUUAACGGAAUAAUCAUCUUCAUUGCUAUCAUUUCGUGAGCAGCCAGGCACUGUGCUAAGCACUUCAAAUAUCCACUGCACUCUUUAGUCACAAUAGUUGCUAAAAGUAAGGACUCUGGAAUGGAGCUCCUGGGUUCCAUGCUUGCCCUCCUCACCAGCUGGGUGAGAAUGGCAUGGGCCUGAGCCUCUUGCCCGCUAUUGUACAUAAAGUAAGUGGCAGUCUGGUCUGUUGGGCCACAAAAUUCAUGUUAUCCUGCUCCCAGAGGCUGGUUACAACCUUCAAACUGAGCCCUUGAGAAAAGAAAUCUAGCAUCUUCAAGGAAACAUGGGGUCCUCUGACUCUCCAGAUACAUGGAUGUCACUGAAGGCACUUCACAGUUGUAUUGGAAGUCCAUCUGUCAUCUACAGGUGAAGAGGAAGAAAUGAGAACUAAGGACCAUCUGGGACUGCAGGUGGACCUGGGGAAAUCAGAGGCCAAGUGUGCUGCUCAUGCAGUGUUCCUGCCUGGAAGUCAAAUGACUUAGGGAGGGUUCCCUGGAAGCCCCACCUGAGAAAGGGAUCUGCAUGGGCUCUGUGCAGGGAGUACUGGGAGGUGGGAAAUGGAACAGGAAGGAGAAAGGAAAGGCAUUGAGCAAGGCUGUGGUCUGGAGCUGGGUCUGAGCAUAGUCUAUGGAGGUGGGGACUCUGAAUGGUAAACUGUCCCUUAAGGCUAUCUGCCCCCGAGCGAACUGGCCAUAAGCUGCUCAGGGAAGAAUAGGUUUAAGUCUCCAGGGAAAGUGGCAGCCCUAAGCCAUUGGCAGCCAAUGCUCUCAGUAGCUGGGGAGGGGGUGCGCUGACCUAGAGAUAGGGAUCUGACCAGCACUCAGUAUCAACCCCCAUCCUCCAUGCAGAGCUGAGGUGCGUAUUACUGAAGUACUCUCUGUGGCAGUGAUUAAGAACCCACCUGCCAAUGCAAGAGAUGUGGGUUCAGUCCCUGGGCUGGAAAGAUCCCCUGGAGAAGGGAAUGGCAACCCACUCCAGUAUUCUUGCCUGGAAAAUCCCAUGGAUAGAGGAGCCUGGCAGGCUGUAGUCCAUGGCGUCACAAACAGUCAGACACUACUGAAGCGACUUGGCACACAUGGUGAUAAUACAAGGGGAGCACUUUUAAUUGGUGUCUGUUUUUAAAUUUUCUGCAGUUAUUGCACCCCCUGGUUGCACCCAUCCCAUUCUUGAUUAUUGCUGCACACCAGGGCUUCCUGAGCAGAGGGGAGGCCAAGG